CAAAUUUUUGAUGUUUUCAAAUGCUUCGGUGAAUCGAUUCAUCUGACAUCAAUUAGGAAGCUAUUUUUAGUGUGUUUUUAUAGUCUAUAAAUAUUGGGAGCAUCACAAUUCAUUCUCCAACAAACCCUUAACCAUUGAAACUGCGACAAUGCUAUAAAAACCUCACCCUCCGCUGUUUUCUUCGAUCAAAUCACAACGGCGGCUCAUCCUUUCUGUCCUCCUUCCCUCAAGCUCAAGAGCGGUGGUGGCUCUCUUCAUCUUCUCCGGCAAUCCCAACCUUCGUUUCAUCUUCUCUCCUUCCGAUUCGCUAACGGUGGCGGCAGUGAUGAUUCACAAUUUGGGAACUGAUGAUGAUGUUGCUUGCGUUUUUUAAAACUGAUGAUUCACGUUGUUGAUGUUGAACGGUCCGGUCGUUCAUUGAGAUCUGCAGAAAUGGGUUAGAUCUUUCUGAUUUUGUUGUUCUUUCUUAAUCUCUCUUCCCAGAGCUUAUCCUUUCCAUGAAAUUGAACCCAAGUGGCAGCGGUUUGGGAGCAACACAACACUUUCAGAACCCUCGAUGAUGAUAUCAAUAUGUCAAAACCUAAAUAUUACAUUCUUGAUAUGUUCCCUUACCCUAGGUUUUGAAUUGUAGUUACUUCGAUUAUUCUAUUUUUCGAUUCAUAUUGAGAAUUACUGAAAUUUAGAUUAUGAUUUGUGCUUUUUUGUUGUUGCAGUGGAGCUGGUUUACAUGUUGGACAUCCGCUUGGAUACACUGCCACUGAUAUUCUAGCUAGCUUGCAUCCAAUGGAGUGGGAUGCUUUUUGGAUUACCUGCAGAACAAUAUGUAUUUGAGACAGGAACUCACCCGAAGCUCACCACAGUGACUAAUAUUAAUCGAUUUACCUCAGGAAACUGAUGACAAGAACUUCGAUAGUAUGGAUGCUAUUGCAAUGGCAUGCAAACCUGAAGGUUCGAUCGAGGCCUUUCUAAUAGAAAGCAUUAGCAAGCAAAAUGAUUUGGGAUGAAGGUGUGAUGUGAUUGAUACUAAGACUCUGCAUGAUUGGAUUUGUGGCGAAUUUGACGGAAUAGCAACGAGCUACUGUGAUUUUGCAAAAAUUAUAGAGUGUAUCUUAUACAAAACUAUGGUGGCAAAUCCAUGAUACGAAACACGCACUGUCUGUUAGGAAAUCAAAGAGAUGAGUCUCUAAUUUCUCAUUGUUUUCAUUCUAUUUCACUUUAAGAGUAAAUUCAAUUUUGUAACAGUUAUGUUAUUUUUCUUUAAAAACAAACUUGGAUCAAUUGU